rnacentral:lncRNA from 1 species
GUCAGGUUUUCAAAUUGCAAAUACUCUUUUGUCAAAGUACUUUCUCUGCUUGACAUCUCCCUGAUGCCUACCUCCCUGUGCACAGAGGACAUUCAGACAUUAAAGAGGCCUUUGCAGAGAGAGGGUUCAAGAAUCAGCACUUACUUAGGCAUGCACAUAUGCAGAAGCUGCUGCCACCAGCCUGUGUGUCCACAUUCAUACAAGUCCUCAUCUAAAGCAAAAUUUUGGGUCUUGAUGUAGGUUAACUACUGACUGUGUUGGAAUUGAAAGAGCCAAGGGAAAAGCAGACAAAGCAGACCAAGGAGAGAUUGAGGUCACACACUUGCUCGGUCUGCAAGGAAAUUUACAGGAGACCUGGAGGAGAGUCAACAGCCAUUUGGUGCCAGAACCCUCCUAUUGGCUUUUUGGAAAGGGAAGGUUGGAAUGCACUUUUCUGGAAUAAUAUCUGGCUGUGGAUUUCACUUCUAUUAAAGACACUCACUAGAAUCCUUUAAAAGAUGUCAGUGGGAAAAUGCUGACAAAAUGAUGACUUCACAGAUAAUAUUUGAAAACAUUAAAAUGAUAAAUUUUCCUACUUAAAAAUGUGCAUUCCCUAUGAACACAUUCCAUAGUAAGGAAACUGAAAUCAUCAAAUGAUGUAAUAAUUUUGGAAGGCUACAGAAUAACAUGAUCGUGAGGUAUUAUAUUUUUCAUAUGGGCAUUUAAAAUUAAUAUGUCAAGCAUUUUAGUAUCUUGUCAUUCUUCUCAGAAACUAAAAACUUGAGGUAUUAGAAGAUUAAGUGGCUGGGCACAGUGCUGCACC